AGGAGCUGAAGGGACCAGCUUGGCCGUCAGUUGCAAGGGUGUGAGGCAGAAGCAACACAAAAGAUCUUGAUAUGAAGCAAUUAUUUUUGGUCUUAAACUGCUGGGACUCCAGAUGACCCAGACCACGGUCAGCAGGCAGAAGCCAGAUGCUAUUGUCAACAGAAUUGCCUUCAAGAUUCCUUUUCUGAUUGUUCAUUGCUGAGAUGACAUCUCACUAUAUUGCCCAGGCUGGUCUUGAACUUCUAGCCUCAAGCAAUCCUCCCACCUCAGCCUCUGAACGUACUGGAAUUACAGAUGGAGCAACUGAGAUUCUUCCCCAACUAGACUAUAAGUUCUCUGAGGGAUAAGGAACAUGUCUGGUUUCCUCAUCUCUCUGUCACAGCACCCUGUGAAUGCCUAGAAGACAGUAAGAAUCAACUGAAUGUUUGUAGAAAGAAUAACGAUACUUACCUAUAGUCUAAAGGUUUAGUGAUGAAAUGAAGUCCACUAACUUCUCUCUGCUUACUUCCACCCUCAAUAACAUAUUUCCUCAAACCCCACAGAGGAAAGACAAUUCAUUUUUUACUAUUGUUUAAUAGAGCCAUGUUUGUAUGUAGCUUCCUGUUCCGCUUAGCCCAAGACAUUAAGUGGGUCAGGAGUAAACUCUGCCCUCUGUUUUUUUCCAUUCCUUUGUCACCUGCUCAAGUGGCAGCCCAGAGCCGCUUGGCGGCUUCCCUGAAGAUGAGCAGAGUGCAGUAGAUUAGGCAUGGCCUUUCUAUCUAUUUCUACUAUGGAGAAGCUGAAAAAGCUAUAUGGCUGGAAAAAAAUCACCUUGGUACUAAUUUGCUAUUUUACAAUAUUUGAAAAUAAAGACCUGUGGUCUUCCUAUGUAUUUCUUUUUAAACAAUGAGGGGUAUGGAACAUCUAUGAAUAAACAUCAAGGUCUUCAAGUG
ensembl:lncRNA novel transcript, antisense to C10orf112